GCGUGCACAGGUGGUGCAUGGUUGUCGUCAGCUCGUGUCGUGAGAUGUUGGGUUAAGUCCCCGAAAGAGCGCAACCCCCCUUUCCCAGUUGCCACCCGGUUAUGGCGGGGAAUUUUGGGGGACCGCCCGGGCCAAACCCGAGGGAGGUGGGGGAGAAGUUAAGUUCUCAUGGCCCUUUUGGCCCGGGGCUACAAACUUGUUCCAAUGGCGGGUACAAAGGGCUAGCAAACCAGCAGGUGGAGGCGAAUCCCAAAAAGCCGGUCUCAGUUCGGAUUGGGGUCUGCAACUGCACCCCCGGGACGCCGC
rnacentral:rRNA from 1 species